rnacentral:misc_RNA from 1 species
CACAGAUUAAUAAUCAAGCAGGAUAAGCACAUGAAAUGCACAGCUAUAAACAAUGCUUUGCCUUGUUUGUCUAACGUAUCAUACAGGCUCCAAGUCAAUCUCACAUACAGUUCCUUCGUUGAGAAAAAUGAGUUACAAACUAAUUCAGAAAAUUUUCAGACACAAAAUCCACCCCUCCAUCCCUAUAAAAGGGCUAAUUCUGGAAACAAUUUCCAUUAUCAUCACAUGGGAACAGCCUAAAUAUGCAUGCUAUCGCUAUUACAACAUUAAUGGCCAAGUGGGUGCUAUCUAUAAUAGACAACAGAAGACGAAAUAGGCAUCACAGAUCAGAGCUCCAUGGUUCAAACAGAGUGCCCUGGAACUAACAAGCCAUUUGAGGGCAGCCCCAACUAAGUCAAUGCUAUUUGCAAGUGGUGGUCCAAUAGGACCUUGAUCAUGUUAACAUAAAUGGACCUUUUCAAGCAUCAGUUCAUGUAACAAAGCUUUUAGAUUAGGGCAGUUGAACAUGUAGAAUAUAUAUAUAAUUCAAGAUGGAAAUCAAUCUUUUCUGAAUAAUCUUUUCAUUUCUUUAUUUUCCCUCAACAUAUUAAUAUUUUAAAUUAAGUGAUGCAUAUGCAAUUCUCAACAGAAAUGUAAAGUCAAGACAUCAAUAAAGAGGCCAGCUUAAAUUUUAGUUGUCCAAAGAGAGAGUUUUGAUUUUAGAAAAAGCCAAUAAUAUGAUAUCCAGUUACCUCUAAUUUGACCAGAAUGAGGGACCAAUUCAGAUAGGGUAGAUGCUUGUUUGAUGUUUGCCAGGGAAAUAGGUGUCAAUGGAGGAGAGUCAACUUCUUCAGCCUUUUCUGGGACAUGCAGAGACUCGGCAGACUUAGAAACAUGUACUGUUACUGCUUUCUGACUGCUGGAGGGUAUCGAGAAGCUCCGAGGGACAACCAAAGGUGGAACUGGCAGAGGAGAUGCGUAAUUUGUUGUUGUGGAAGGAACUUUGCUUGUUCCAGAAUGCUCUGGAUUUCUCACCAACGGAGCAGAGUGACCAACUAGUGCAGAUGAUUUUGCUGGUUUUGAGGCUAAAUUAACCGGUGGCCUAGGAAGCUCAUGAAGCUCACUUAUUCUGGGUGAAGAUGCAAGGGGAGGUGAAGCAGUUGGGGAUACUUUUGGAGAUGUAGUCUGAGGAAUCAUUACACGUGGAAACACGCCAGAAACUUGUUGGGGAAGUUCGUUAGAGGAAAUGGGACCACUGGCGGAUAAAGCAGGCUUCAUAGACCAGGACUUACUAGUUAUUGGACCAGAGAAAGACUGCCGUUUAACCUUUUUGUGAUCCGAUGCAUUAUAUGUAUCAAGCUGUGGAAGUGAAGUUCCUUCCACUAAAGGAGGGGGUAACUGGGUGGAGGCGUUACUGUUGCUCUUUUUGUGUGCUGAAAAUGCUUUUAAGACAGUGAAGUCUGACAGAUGACUGUCAACAGGAUCUUUUUCAUGCUUCUUCUGUUCCAGUGGGGAUGAAUGCCACAAAUUAUGGGUGCGUCCACUGAGGUCAGUUGGCCUUGUCUGGAUAAGUGAACCACUUGUUCUUGACGAGAUUGCACCCUUAGCAUCAAUAGGUGUGGGCAGCACAUAUGUGUUGGACUUCCUUACAGAUGAUUGCAUUUGUCUCAUUUUUUCAACUGGAUCAGGUUUUCUUUCGGGAAAUAUUGGUGCAGAAUGGCUUCCUGGUCGAGGUUCUCUAACUGAGAUAUUGAAACCCCCUUGGUUUUUGUCUGGGUUUAACUCUGUACUUUCUGUCACUGAAGCUUGAGGAAAUGGCAUGUCAACAUAUUCCACCUCCAUUGAAUUCCUUGAUGUUUUUUCUGCAUCAAGGAAUUCAAUGGAGGUGGAAUAUGUUGACAUGCCAUUUCCUCAAGCUUCAGUGACAGAAAGUACAGAGUUAAACCCAGACAAAAACCAAGGGGGUUUCAAUAUCUCAGUUAGAGAACCUCGACCAGGAAGCCAUUCUGCACCAAUAUUUCCCGAAAGAAAACCUGAUCCAGUUGAAAAAAUGAGACAAAUGCAAUCAUCUGUAAGGAAGUCCAACACAUAUGUGCUGCCCACACCUAUUGAUGCUAAGGGUGCAAUCUCGUCAAGAACAAGUGGUUCACUUAUCCAGACAAGGCCAACUGACCUCAGUGGACGCACCCAUAAUUUGUGGCAUUCAUCCCCACUGGAACAGAAGAAGCAUGAAAAAGAUCCUGUUGACAGUCAUCUGUCAGACUUCACUGUCUUAAAAGCAUUUUCAGCACACAAAAAGAGCAACAGUAACGCCUCCACCCAGUUACCCCCUCCUUUAGUGGAAGGAACUUCACUUCCACAGCUUGAUACAUAUAAUGCAUCGGAUCACAAAAAGGUUAAACGGCAGUCUUUCUCUGGUCCAAUAACUAGUAAGUCCUGGUCUAUGAAGCCUGCUUUAUCCGCCAGUGGUCCCAUUUCCUCUAACGAACUUCCCCAACAAGUUUCUGGCGUGUUUCCACGUGUAAUGAUUCCUCAGACUACAUCUCCAAAAGUAUCCCCAACUGCUUCACCUCCCCUUGCAUCUUCACCCAGAAUAAGUGAGCUUCAUGAGCUUCCUAGGCCACCGGUUAAUUUAGCCUCAAAACCAGCAAAAUCAUCUGCACUAGUUGGUCACUCUGCUCCGUUGGUGAGAAAUCCAGAGCAUUCUGGAACAAGCAAAGUUCCUUCCACAACAACAAAUUACGCAUCUCCUCUGCCAGUUCCACCUUUGGUUGUCCCUCGGAGCUUCUCGAUACCCUCCAGCAGUCAGAAAGCAGUAACAGUACAUGUUUCUAAGUCUGCCGAGUCUCUGCAUGUCCCAGAAAAGGCUGAAGAAGUUGACUCUCCUCCAUUGACACCUAUUUCCCUGGCAAACAUCAAACAAGCAUCUACCCUAUCUGAAUUGGUCCCUCAUUCUGGUCAAAUUAGAGGUAACUGGAUAUCAUAUUAUUGGCUUUUUCUAAAAUCAAAACUCUCUCUUUGGACAACUAACAUUUAAGCUGGCCUCUUUAUUGAUGUCUUGACUUUACAUUUCUGUUGAGAAUUGCAUAUGCAUCACUUAAUUUAAAAUAUUAAUAUGUUGAGGGAAAAUAAAGAAAUGAAAAGAUUAUUCAGAAAAGAUUGAUUUCCAUCUUGAAUUAUAUAUAUAUUCUACAUGUUCAACUGCCCUAAUCUAAAAGCUUUGUUACAUGAACUGAUGCUUGAAAAGGUCCAUUUAUGUUAACAUGAUCAAGGUCCUAUUGGACCACCACUUGCAAAUAGCAUUGACUUAGUUGGGGCUGCCCUCAAAUGGCUUGUUAGUUCCAGGGCACUCUGUUUGAACCAUGGAGCUCUGAUCUGUGAUGCCUAUUUCGUCUUCUGUUGUCUAUUAUAGAUAGCACCCACUUGGCCAUUAAUGUUGUAAUAGCGAUAGCAUGCAUAUUUAGGCUGUUCCCAUGUGAUGAUAAUGGAAAUUGUUUCCAGAAUUAGCCCUUUUAUAGGGAUGGAGGGGUGGAUUUUGUCUGAAAAUUUUCUGAAUUAGUUUGUAACUCAUUUUUCUCAACGAAGGAACUGUAUGUGAGAUUGACUUGGAGCCUGUAUGAUACGUUAGACAAACAAGGCAAAGCAUUGUUUAUAGCUGUGCAUUUCAUGUGCUUAUCCUGCUUGAUUAUUAAUCUGUGAUAAUGAUCAAAUUUUGGUUCUGAUUGCGAACAUUUUCAUUGAAUGCAGGUGGG